UACGUAGGUGGCAAGCGUUAUCCGGAUUUACUGGGUGUAAAGGGCGUGUAGGCGGGGACGCAAGUCAGAUGUGAAAACCACGGGCUCAACCUGUGGCCUGCAUUUGAAACUGUGUUUCUUGAGUACUGGAGAGGCAGACGGAAUUCCUAGUGUAGCGGUGAAAUGCGUAGAUAUUAGGAGGAACACCAGUGGCGAAGGCGGUCUGCUGGACAGCAACUGACGCUGAGGCGCGAAAGCGUGGGGAGCAAACAGG
rnacentral:rRNA from 1 species